CUGCUUUUUUCCCCCGUCCCCCCCUUUUCUUAUUGCAGCCGCCAAGACCCCCUCUCCUCACCAGCUUCCAUCUCUCUCAUGCCUCUUCGUCGCCGCCUUCCAGCCGUUGCCCUAGUCGUCGAUGCACUGCUGUGAGCCGAUCGUUCGAGCUGCCCGCGAACCUCCGUCAUUCAUCCCAGUCGUGUACCGACGUCCUCUGCGUGCAGAUCCGCUCGCCAAUCGUGCCAAAAAUCCCGAUCUCCAUCUCUCUCCCGCGUCUCUCCUCACUCUCCCUUACCAUCGACGUCAGCCAUCCCCCGCGCGCGAACCAGACCCAAUCGUCGGCUUUCUCAGUCGACCUUCGCCCACCUAUCGCCUCACCAUGUCGUGUCGGCCCCUGUCCCCACCGCCACAGGUCCAGCCACGUGUCGCCCUACUCGUUCCGCUGUCGCCUUUCGCCAUUCUUUCAUCUUUUCGUCGUGCCUCUACUGUUGGGUUGAGUGUUUUGGUAAGAUUUUCACAUUUGGGGUGAAUUUUGUGGAUUAAACUGUUGUCCUUUUGACUUUUGGUUUCGGUUUGAUUGAUACCCAUCGCGUUUGGAGCUAGAUUGAAGUUUUGAGAAAUUUCUGAGGCACUGUCCAGUUUCGUGGAAGGGUAAUUUUGGCGACCCUUUGGUUGGUAUCAGAGCUCACAUUUGGGGUUCUGAAGACUGACUUACUACUUAAAUCUAGGUAGUCCUUAUGGCCCAGUAAUUAAUUCCUUGUCGUCGUCAGGUAUGUCCUACUAAUGAAAGUUUCAGUACAUACAUGAGAUUAGUUGAUGUAAUGUUUUAGUGGCAUGUUUUCUUAAGAAAGUCUUAGAAAGAGAGUUGAUUUGUAAGUUCUUGACAGGACAUCGCACUUAAGCCCAGACCAAGAAAGGCAGUUAGAGGAGGGGUUCGGCACCCCAAGUGCAACAUCCACAAGUUUAGAUUCAUCCUCUUCCAGGGGUGUAGAAAGAGGGAACUAGUGGAAAUCAGACAGUCCAGCUUUAAGUCCACCUAUGUCUCAAGUCGAUGAAAAAGCAAUGGAGGCAAAAAAUGGGGAAGCCGUUGCAUUGUCCCUAAUGGAAAGAUUGCAGGAUUUGAUUUGCAAUGCAAUGAGAGGACAAACUGCCCAGAAUCAGGCUCAGAAUGAGCAAGUACCACAAGUUCAGUUGCAACAGACCCAGUCGCUGAGUCAAAACAUGUAGGGUCUGUCCCAUGAAGCUAAGCACUUGAGGGAUUUCAGGAAGUUUGUGCCUCGCCCAUUUGAUGGAUCGUUGAGGGAUCCCACUAAAGCAGAGAUGUGAUUGUCAUCGAUUGAGACGAUUUUUCGUUAUAUGACGUGCCCGAAAGAGCACAAGCUCUAAUGUGCAGUUUUUAUGUUGACUAGCUGAAGGAACUCAUUUUUAAAGAGAUCCAUGAGCGGAAGUGAAUAGUCUAAAUUCUAUUUAGAUUUAAAACAUGAAUUUACAAUAAACAUACAGAUUAUGAAUUCUAAGUUAAAUUACAGCAUGCUUUUUAAACAAGAAA